CAGUGGGAUCUAAGGAGGCUGGGUUCUUGGGGUAUGUCCACCAUGGCCUGGAUUCCUCUCCUCCCCUUCUUUACCCUCUUCACAGGUGG
rnacentral:pre_miRNA from 1 species